rnacentral:rRNA from 1 species
GGUGGGGACGACGUCAAAUCAUCAUGCCCCUUAUGUCCAGGGCUGCAAACAUGCUACAAUGGCCGGUACAAAGGGCUGCUAAACCGCGAAGUGGAGCGAAUCCCAUAAAGCCGGUCUCAGUUCGGAUUGGAGUCUGCAACUCGACUCCAUGAAGCUGGAGUUGCUAGUAAUCCCGGAUCAGCAACGCCGGGGUGAAUACGUUCCCGGGCCUUGUACACACCGCCCGUCACACCACGAAAGUUGGUAACACCCGAAGCCAGUGGCCCAACCCUUUGGGAGGGAGCUGUCGAAGGUGGGAUCAGCGAUUGGGGUGAAGUCGUAACAAGGUAGCCG